GUUGGUUGCCUGCACAUGUCAAUAGAGUGCCCAGUGAAAGUUAAGUGACAGAAAGAAAAAGAAACCCGACGCACGUUUCGGUGCUUCGGUAGUGUGGCUCCUCACCCAUUAUGACCAGUCACUGCAGACCUACAAUCCCCACAUAAUUAAAAGGAGCUAACAUAUAGCGUAUCAGGUUCAUGUUCGUGCUUCCAAAAAGUAUGGUGCAGAUGGGACAUCUUCCAGUCCCAGGUUACUGCCCCUUCAUCCCAGGUCACUGUCCUUCCUGCUUUAGUCUCUUUGAUUUACGUUGGUUAGAAAUGCAUUUUUUGUUCUGUUAAAACUAUGUAAGGCCGAGCAUCAACUUUUUAUGUGUGAAUGUCGUAGUGCCAAUAACAGUAUUGAGAUGUGAGAUGUUAGAAGAAUUUUGCAAUUAUGUAUCUUUGGAAAAUCCUGGCAACAUUUAGUUUAAAAAAGUUGCCAAUGGCGGAGCUAAGCACUGAAAGAAAACAGACGUGUCUGCACACCGCUCCGGGCCAAAACGCAAUAAACCCAGAUCGCCCAGCGGAAUUUCACCCCAAAAACGCACAAAACAUAGCCCCGACCAAACAUCUUUUGGAGGAGUGGUGAUAGUAUUCCCCCUUCUCUUAUUUUCUAAGUAACUCUGAAGGUCGGAUCAUCCACAGGUCGUAUAAGUAUCUAUUAUUUAAUAUUUAUAAACUGUAUUACACAUGAUUGCUACUAGAUUGCUGAUAACUGUAUGAUAAUAUUUUCAAGUACUUCUCCUUGACACGCUAAGGCACCUAACCUAGGGGAAAAAUUAUGGCUAUGUAAGACACCAGACUCUAGAAGAUGAAGGGACAGGGGAGGAGGGGCAUCGGGACAGCU